CCUACGGGAGGCUGCAGUGGGGAAUCUUGCGCAAUGGGCGAAAGCCUGACGCAGCGACGCCGCGUGGGGGAAGAAGGCUUUCGGGUUGUAAACCCCUUUCAGGAAGGACGCGGUACUUUCAGAAGAAGCCCCGGCUAACUACGUGCCAGCAGCCGCGGUAAUACGUAGGGGGCAAGCGUUGUCCGGAUUUAUUGGGCGUAAAGAGCGUGUAGGCGGUUAGGUAGGUCCGUUGUGAAAACUCGAGGCUCAACCUCGAGACGCCGAUGGAAACCAUCUGACUAGAGUCCGGAAGAGGAGAGUGGAAUUCCUGGUGUAGCGGUGAAAUGCGCAGAUAUCAGGAAGAACACCCGUGGCUAAGGCGGCUCUCUAGUACGGCUGACGCUGAGACGCGAAAGCGUGGGGAGCGAACAGGAUUAGAUACCCUUGUAGUC
rnacentral:rRNA from 1 species